UUGGAGGGCAAGUCUGGUGCCAGCAGCCGCGGUAAUUCCAGCUCCAAUAGCGUAUAUUAAAGUUGUUGCAGUUAAAAAGCUCGUAGUUGAAUUUCGGGGUCAGUAGAUUGGUCGUGCCACUGGUAUGUACUGGUCUUACUGGCUCCUCCUUCCUGAUGAACCGUAAUGCCAUUAAUUUGGUGCUGCGGGGAGACUGGACUGUUACUUUGAAAAAAUUAGAGUGUUUAAAGCAGGCUAACGCUUGAAUACAUUAGCAUGGAAUAAUGAAAUAGGACGUUCGAUCUUAUUUUGUUGGUUUCUAGGAUUGACGUAAUGAUUAAUAGGGAUAGUUGGGGGCAUUAGUAUUCAAUUGUCAGAGGUGAAAUUCUUGGAUUUAUUGAGGACUAACUACUGCGAAAGCAUUUGCCAAGGAUGUUUUCAUUAAUCAAGAACGAAAGUUAGGGGAUCGAAGACGAUCAGAUACCGUCGUAGUCUUAACCAUAAACUAUGCCGACUAGGGAUCGGAUGAUGUUAAUUUUUUAAUGACUCAUUCGGCGCCUUACGGGAAA
rnacentral:rRNA from 1 species